rnacentral:tRNA from 1 species
GAUAAGAUAAGCUAAACAAAGCUAGUGGGCCCAUAACCCAAAAAUGAAAUCACUCUCUUGUC